GUUUGGCUGCUGGAGGCCAGGUAGCAAUAUUGCCUAGCUGGAGGGCUGCUGAGAACAAUCUGGAGACUCUACACUGUGGAGUUACCAUUGCCCAUGAAAAGGUCAAAAGAAAAGGCAAAGCAGAAGUUUUAAGCUGACUUUCUUACGUGCAAAUGUACCAUUUUUCAAAAUCAGAUGGAAUGUGUUUUGUUUUUUUUUCUUUUUUUGUCCGCCUGCAGUCACUUUUGUAUGGUGCUAAAUAUGAACCUAAGUCAAGAACAUAAGAUGAACCCCCUCUAAUUUCUUUCUAUGCACAGAACAUUUAUAAAUGUAUUAUAAUUUUCCAUGUAUGGAAUCUAAGUAUUGGAGGAUCAUCUUAAAUUCAUCUCUCAUCUCCCCCCCAACACUACUGCAGGAGCUGGCACUGCUGUUGCAGAGAUGGGCUAGAACCAGGGUGCGAAUUAUGGGGGAUCUCAGGGGGGCUGACCCCCUCCCCCCCACAAAGACAUGAGAUUCCCCUGUAAGAUUUGGAAAUCAUAACUGGGGCAGCCUCUGAUCAGAUUGCUCUGUCCAGUGAACUGGCUUAAUUUUUUUGCAGACCCGCCCCCCCAAUAUUAAUUUGAACCCUAGCUGGAACAGCAGUGCCGGCUCCACUGCUAUGGGGCUGGGUUGGAGCCAUGCUCCAGACUGCAACAGGGACAGAGCCUGCUGGCAUGGUGCAAAGAUAAGAAGGAGUGUGACAGAGAAAGGGAGAGGCAGUGUGAGGAUGGAAACUGGGGCUGUGGGGGAGGAGUGGCAGGGUGAGCAGAAGCAGUGGGGGGUGGGAGACAGGCAGCAGCUGCAGCUCCAGCCCCAACCCCUGCCCCUCCCCUCCACCCUGCUGCUUCAUCCUUGACUGUAAAAUGAGGGGCUUUUUUCCCCCAUGUUAAAUGGUGGGGGGGGAAAUUAACUUGUCUUCUAAUUGGGUAAAUAUAGUAUUAUAGGAAAGGUAUCCAGGCUGUAGCCAUAUUGGUCUAGAGGAAAAGGCAAUCAGGACUUGUAGUAGAUAUAAAUUAAAGAAAUUAAAUCUGCUCGUAGUAGAGAUAAAUUAAAGAAAUUAGCUUGCAAUUCAAGAAUUUUUUUGCAAAAAUCUUAUUGGUCUAAUAAAAGAUAUCUCUACUACAAGUCCUGAUUGUAUUAUAGGAAAGGCACAGUUGUGAAGUCCACCAGAAGCCUGUUCACAACCCCAGUUUAAAAAGACCUAUCUUUCAGAAGGAUAUACAUUACCAUACAGUAUAUACAGUUUGUCACUUGGUACAAAUCUAACCAGCCAAUAGUGUAUGAAAGAUCAGUGGAAAUAUAUAAUAAGAGCCACAGUUGUGACAGCCACUCUCUAUACUGCUUGGGAGGUCUCUGUUAAUGGCUGGUUUACUCUACAACUAAUUCUUCAGGUCUAGAGCUGGAUUCAUUUCCACCAAUUAUGCCACAGCAGAAAGGAAACUCUAACCUCACAGAAUCAGGGAAAUCAUUGCAUUGAGCUCAUUGGCAUGCAGUCUCUCCUUCCUAGGUGCCAAUGCUCCUCUCAGCUCCAAGCAACAUAUACUUUGACUCAUUCUGGACAGCUGAGGAGCCUUUCUUCUGAAUAUAUUGGCCCAUCAAGCCACCACGAUCCAUGACCUUCAGCUCAGUAGACUCAGAAAGAUUUCUGCUGCAUAAAGCAGUGCUCAAGGGAACUAUAUAGUUAAGAAAAUUGACUGGUUUUGAUUUCCAGUACCUUCAAAUUCUCCCCAUGGAUUUUUCACUCUUCCAAUUCACUGCUUUCCCACAAUCGGGAAGAUGAGAAAAAGAACUUGGGCAUGUUUGCUACCUUCCUGAAGUCGACUGUUAAUGCAAACCUUCAUGCUUAUCUGAAAAUGCACUGUAAUCUAUAUUAUUGCACGUGAACUGUAUGUAAUAUAUAUUAUUGCAUAUCUAUGCUGCUAAACUGUAUUCCAUUACCUUGCAUUUCCUUUUACACAUGUUCGCUGCACUUCUGCUGCAGCUAUUAUUACAAUUACAAGAACUAUAACAUAUUUGGUAUAAAAAGUAAUCAAAGUUGGCUCUAACAAAAAUGACGUCUGGCAAAAAAUUUCUCCAUUUAGUAAACAAAACAAAAUAGUGAGACUUGCUUGGUGGCUAGAAUGGUCUCAGAGCUGCAAUAAUUAAGUACAUUUCCUUUGAGGGCACAGACAAUAGUGGGAGAUAAUCUCUUGCUGGAGAUUACAUUUUCAUCAGCUUUAUGUCUUAGAAGGUUGCAAAUCUAACAUAGCUUUACAUUUUAAAAUACAAAGGAAUCAGAAAAGUCCUACUGGUUUUCAACUAGCAAAUUGCUUCCAAAAUGAAAUGCCUGUCAAUUGUUUUUCUUCAUUUUCACCCCCAUGGCUUCAACAAACUGCUUCAAUGAAAACUGUUUUAAUGGUUAAAUACACUUCAACGGCACCUCAUCAGCAGCAUAUCCCAGUCAUAUAAAACCGUGAUGGGACAUAAGACAAACAGCUUAAACAAACUUCAGAGCCUUGCAGUGUUAUUGUUUUGAAAUGAAGAACAGCCAUCAUGCAGCGAUAUAUGAUUAACUUUGUCUAAUAUGUUUGCUUUCAUUUAUAAUAGCUAUUGAAGAGAUAUAAAAAAUCAGGAACACAAGGCAAAAUUCAGGUUUUUCCAUGGGUUCAGAGAAAGGUGAUAAAAUUCAGGCGGCUG